UACGUAGGUGGCAAGCGUUAUCCGGAAUUAUUGGGCGUAAAGCGCGCGUAGGCGGUUUUUUAAGUCUGAUGUGAAAGCCCACGGCUCAACCGUGGAGGGUCAUUGGAAACUGGAAAACUUGAGUGCAGAAGAGGAAAGUGGAAUUCCAUGUGUAGCGGUGAAAUGCGCAGAGAUAUGGAGGAACACCAGUGGCGAAGGCGACUUUCUGGUCUGUAACUGACGCUGAUGUGCGAAAGCGUGGGGAUCAAACAGGAUUAGAUACCUGGUAGUCAAGGGCG
rnacentral:rRNA from 1 species